GUACGGAAGCCGGAAGGGUUGGGCUGCGCGUUUUCCAAGCUAGAGGCUGACCACGGCUCCGAGGUGGUGAUGUGUGUGACGAGUUUACUUUUUAAAAUUUCCAUGGCGUUAUUAUUACAUUACAUUGCAAUGGCCUGAGCUCUACUCUAUGGUACAUAACAAUUCAUUCUUCAAUUUAGUGAGACGGGUUUAAGUGCCAGUGCCCGAACAGGCUCUGGAAAUAUGAAGAUGAAAAAAUGCCAGAUUCUUGAGUGGCACAAAUCCAAUAGAGGAGCAGACAUAAGGAGAAACAAAUAUGGAACAGUGAUAUCUUGCCAGUUUGAAUAAAGUCUACAUGGAAGAGAGUAGAGCUGAGAGAUGGGAAGAUACUGAGUCUUAAUGACAUUCUUCGAGAUGCUGGGUGUAAUUGGGCCUGCAGAUAGAGUUUCAUAUAGGUAAGUCAGUAAAUUCCCUUGUUUCAUAUAGGUAAGUCAGUAAAUUCCCUUGUUUGCUUAGACAAGCUUGAGUUAGGUUUUCUGUAACUUGCAACAAAGGAGUACUAUAUUGGACAUUUUCCAUUUGCUCUCCAGAUUCACUCUCUAUGUCCCAGGGAACUGACCUAUCUGGACUGUAUCAUAAGAGUUCUUUUGCCCUCUGGCUUCUGGUUGUGUUCAGCCAAUGGAAAUCUUCCUAAAGAAUGAAGUCAGGGCAUUUAUUUCAUGGGAGUUCUCCCUGUUAGAUAAUAAUAGGUUGGAUGAUCCCAGCUUUAU